GCAUUUUGCUCGGCUUUGAAAUCUACGUUUGAAUCACUGAAACUUUCGAGGUUAACUCGACGAAAUUGACGGAGAAAGGAAACCAAGUCUAGCUCCGACGAGUUCCAAUCGUCUGGACAAAGCUCUCUGUUGGUACCGUUGCUGGCACGCUCACAUCGUGAAACGAACAGUGAUUAUUUAUGAAAACUGACUUUCUAUCGUUCUGUCGUUCGACACAACUCAAGUUUCGUGAAAUCAGCUGAUCGACCAGUGACGGCAGUACCGUCGUGGGAUGCUUAACCCAUGCGCACUACGAGCCGCCCUAAGAAAAUAAUUACGACCUUCCCUGCAGAACCUUGCGAGCAACGGAGAUCGCAUUCUUCACGUUCCUCAAUAGUCCUACACCGCCGACGUCCAUGGUGACCCUGUCUCAAGAAACGCGUCAGUUUUAAAUUACUUGCACGUUUCCAUAUGACGGAUUGUGCGAAUAGUACCCAUCCAUAAUUAGAGCAUCAAGAGUUGUCUCCCCGUUCUCAUCUGGACUGCCUCCGUAUCCCACGGUCUUCCUACAUUUCUGUUCUUCGCAAAGACUGCAGCUUUCUUCUAUAGCAUCCAGAGCACUCCUCUUCUCGACGUUAAGAACGUUCCAUGCUGCAAGACGAUCAUCGUGCUACACGUGUAAUAUUACUUUCUGUAAUUAUAAUGUUUAGUCGUGCGUUACCUCGUUGCGUAGCUUGUUCAUAAUUCCACGUAAUGACUACCAACGGAGUGCUCUCGUUAGAAGCAGACACUUGUUGGCAAGAACAAAUAGAAACGGCCAGGAGAAACGUGAAUACGAAUGUCAUGAUGAGCGUUUCGCUAAAUGAUCGAAGACUCAAUUGAACGUUGAUUGCCCGUAUAGCGGUGCACACGGUGGGGUUAUAUCUCACAUAUCGCGUUCUGUAGAAUAACAACGAUACGUGACACACAUGUGCGCUGAUCAAAUAAAAUAUUCCACUCCCUCCAUAGAUCUUUAAGUAAAUGUAUAAAUUAGUUUUAAGACUUUAGUAAGGCAUGAAAUUUCUUGAUCACUGA